rnacentral:lncRNA from 1 species
AAUAUAAAGUGUAAGAUGAAAUAAUUUAGAAGAAAUACAAGGAAUCCACGGGCACUUUAAGCAGGAGGAAUGCACUAUUUUAUUAUUAGACAUAUAAUACAUAUACUAAUGGUAACCUCUGAUAAUGUUUUCGGUCUUCUAUAACCCUCCUCAUCCGGUUCUCUCAAAUGAGACACUCAUUUGAAAGAACUGGCUGAGGGCGAUAGAAGGCCGAAAAUGUUACCAGAGGUUGUUAUUGGUAUAUCUACUAUAAUUCUAAUAAUAAAAUGGAGUGUUUUUCCUGCUUAAAGUGCUUGUGAUUCCUUGUAUUCCUAGAAGCAACAGAACUUAUUAGUUUAUGAUUAUGAUUAAAAUUUCUGAUUUAAUCCUAUAAUGCUGAUUUUUUUAUAUUUAUUCUGUAUAGUCUGUCAAGAUUAUUGUUCAUUUAAGACCAAUUCUUGUUUUGUUUUUCUUUGGAAAACUGUCAAGACCUCAGUUAUUAAUCAUUUCCUUAGUCUUAUAUCAUCCAGUGAGCCUGUUUUCUUCUCAGUCUAUCAAUGUCAUAUUGAUAAGUCUUUUUCAAAACAGCAAUUGUUAAUAAUUUAUUGUCAGUGUCACUUAGAUGCUCUUUAAUAUGAAUAGAAAGAAAUAUUAGAAGAUGAGGAUGAGAAUGUUAUGUAUGCAUGUAUUUUUUCCUCUAAUGAUGAGGAUGAGGAUGUUAUGUAUGGUUAGUUAAAAUGGUAGGUGGUAUUUUUCAAGUAAUAUAUGAUUUUUCAUCUACAUGAAGUGCAAGCCAACAUAGUUGGUCAGGGUCUCUUUAUGAAAGAACAUUGAUUUUCAGAUCAUUACUGAGAAUUGUCCAUGUCCUAAGAUACAUCACACACUCAAUCCAGAAAUGGAAUAUUGUCUAUAUUGUCUCUGGUUGGCCAGUGUGGACACUCUGGUGACUGGGUCAGCUUUCAUGAAUCUAAGGAAGAGUUUGCUGGGGUAAUAUUAAUUUGAAUGUGGAGAAGUAACACUUCCAUUUUUCAAGAUUAACAAUUGCCUGUUGAAUCCAUAAUAAAACUUAACACUGCUUUGUUACUACGAUAAUGUUAAUUAGGUAAGGCAACCACUAAGCAAUCG